GGGUCGAUAGCUCAGUCGGUUAGAGCUGCGGAUUUUUAAUCCGUCGGUCCAGGGUUCGAGUCCCUGUCGACCCACCA
rnacentral:tRNA from 1 species